GCUACAGGCUUAACACAUGCAAGUUGAGGGGCAGCAUGGUCUUAGCUUGCUAAGGCCGAUGGCGACCGGCGCACGGGUGAGUAACACGUAUCCAACCUGCCGUCUACUCUUGGACAGCCUUCUGAAAGGAAGAUUAAUACAAGAUGGCAUCAUGAGUCCGCAUGUUCACAUGAUUAAAGGUAUUCCGGUAGACGAUGGGGAUGCGUUCCAUUAGAUAGUAGGCGGGGUAACGGCCCACCUAGUCUUCGAUGGAUAGGGGUUCUGAGAGGAAGGUCCCCCACAUUGGAACUGAGACACGGUCCAAACUCCUACGGGAGGCAGCAGUGAGGAAUAUUGGUCAAUGGGCGAGAGCCUGAACCAGCCAAGUAGCGUGAAGGAUGACUGCCCUAUGGGUUGUAAACUUCUUUUAUAAAGGAAUAAAGUCGGGUAUGCAUACCCGUUUGCAUGUACUUUAUGAAUAAGGAUCGGCUAACUCCGUGCCAGCAGCCGCGGUAAUACGGAGGAUCCGAGCGUUAUCCGGAUUUAUUGGGUUUAAAGGGAGCGUAGAUGGAUGUUUAAGUCAGUUGUGAAAGUUUGCGGCUCAACCGUAAAAUUGCAGUUGAUACUGGAUAUCUUGAGUGCAGUUGAGGCAGGCGGAAUUCGUGGUGUAGCGGUGAAAUGCUUAGAUAUCACGAAGAACUCCGAUUGCGAAGGCAGCCUGCUAAGCUGCAACUGACAUUGAGGCUCGAAAGUGUGGGUAUCAAACAGGAUUAGAUACCCUGGUAGUCCACACGGUAAACGAUGAAUACUCGCUGUUUGCGAUAUACGGCAAGCGGCCAAGCGAAAGCGUUAAGUAUUCCACCUGGGGAGUACGCCGGCAACGGUGAAACUCAAAGGAAUUGACGGGGGCCCGCACAAGCGGAGGAACAUGUGGUUUAAUUCGAUGAUACGCGAGGAACCUUACCCGGGCUUAAAUUGCAGAUGAAUUACGGUGAAAGCCGUAAGCCGCAAGGCAUCUGUGAAGGUGCUGCAUGGUUGUCGUCAGCUCGUGCCGUGAGGUGUCGGCUUAAGUGCCAUAACGAGCGCAACCCUUGUUGUCAGUUACUAACAGGUCAUGCUGAGGACUCUGACAAGACUGCCAUCGUAAGAUGUGAGGAAGGUGGGGAUGACGUCAAAUCAGCACGGCCCUUACGUCCGGGGCUACACACGUGUUACAAUGGGGGGUACAGAGGGCCGCUACCACGCGAGUGGAUGCCAAUCCCAAAAACCUCUCUCAGUUCGGACUGGAGUCUGCAACCCGACUCCACGAAGCUGGAUUCGCUAGUAAUCGCGCAUCAGCCACGGCGCGGUGAAUACGUUCCCGGGCCUUGUACACACCGCCCGUCAAGCCAUGGGAGCCGGGGGUACCUGAAGUGCGUAACCGCGAGGAGCGCCCUAGGGUAAAACUGGUGACUGGGGCU
rnacentral:rRNA from 1 species